UAGAAAAAAACUGACAUGCUACUGGUGUUGUUCAAUAAUGUGCUGAGGUGUUUCCAUAAAUAUCCGUUUGGGAGAAGUUAUCUAUCUCAGCCUCGCCGGGGUUUGUAUCCGUUUGUUUCUUACUCUGUCUGUUUGUGUUUAGACUGGGAGGCAACGACCUGGGAGAUUCUGGAGUGAAACUGGUGUCUGCGGCUCUGAGGAACCCGGACUGUAAAAUACAGAGACUGAGGCUGUACAGUGUCGGUCUCACAGAUUCUGGAGCCGAGGAUCUCGUCUCCGCUCUCAGUACAAACCACACGGUGACGUGGCUGUGGCUGAGUGAUAAUAAACUUGGAGAUUCUGGAGUGAAACUGGUGUCUGCGGCUCUGAGGAACCCGGACUGUAAAAUACAGAGACUGUGGCUGAGCCGUGUCGGUCUCACAGAUUCUGGAGCCGAGGAUCUCGUCUCCGCUCUCAGUACAAACCGCUCACUGACGGAGCUGGAGCUGAGAUACAACUCCCUCACAGACCGAUCUGUCCCCACUCUUCGCCACCUCAUACUGAACCAUCCGAGUCUGAAGCAGAUCAUGCUGGAGGGGAAUAAGUUCAGUCCGGGGAGAAGGAACUUAGGUCACUGCAGGAACCCGGACUGAGUGUGACCGUGUGAACAUCUCGUGGUUUAAACGUCACCGCCCUGGGGACCAGAAU